AAGUAAAGCGCUCCUUUCCAAAUUGACGACCUCGUCCUUCUUCAGUUAACACCUCCCUCUCUCAAUGACGAUGAUGGAGCAUGUCCAGGUGUUGGUGACACAGCUACAUGGCUGCGUGUGGGAUAAAGUCGCUGCCCCUUCAGAACUCACACCCCCCUGGAGUGGGACACACACCUCUAAGAACAAACAAGGAUGAGAGCAGAGCCAGCUUGGCAUCGUGGGAAUCAAUAAAUGAAACAGAAAGUGCAAGGUGGUGGGGGUAGCUAUCUCGGGACGGGGUGUCAGAGGUGGAUCUGAGUUGGGCAGACAGGAGGGACGCAGUCCAGGGCGGUCCUGGGUGAGUCUGUUCCAUGUAAGGAACUGCCAGCACACAGGUCGUAAGGAGGAGUGCGGUGUGGCCCCGGCACCAAUCCAGGGCUGGAUGAAGAAUGAUUGAGGCAGUCUGAAGAUGACACCAAGUCAUUCUCCUCCCACGGAGAGGUGGACUUUCUCUUCUCUCUGCAAUCUGGGCUGGCCUCAGUGACUUGAGGAGGGAGAAAUACUCUAGGAUUCCUAGGCUGGGUCAUAAGGCACCUUCUAGCCUCUGCUCGAGUGACCUCCUAGGAAGUACAGCUGCCCUGAGCCCACCAUGCUGUGAGGAAGCCCAAGCCAGCCGUGGGAAGAGGCCGUGAGGUGGGGGAGGGGAGGGAGAUCUGUCCGGCCUCACCUGUUGUAGCCAUCCCAUAGGUGUGUGAACACAGCAUCUUGGACAAGCCAGCCCCAGCUGACAUAAUUUACAGAAAAACCAAGGAACCCUGCAGACAGCCGGAACUGAGGUCCCAAAAUACAGCCCAGCCAAGCCAUGCUGCCAUCGUUAGCCAUUGGUACCUUCCCAAUUGAGACCCCACAAAUCAUGCGGCCUGUGCCACCAUCCAGUGCCGGAUCUGAACUACUGAUCCACUGAGCUUUGGGCUGAUUGGUUCUGCAACGAUGGGUGG
rnacentral:lncRNA from 10 species